UACGGAGGGGGCUAGCGUUUUUCGGAAUUACUGGGCGUAAAGCGCACGUAGGCGGAUCGUUAAGUCGGGGGUGAAAUCCCGGGGCUCAACCCCGGAACUGCCUUCGAUACUGGCGGUCUCGAGGACGGUAGAGGCUAGUGGAAUGGCGAGUGUAGAGGUGAAAUUCGUAGAUAUUCGCCGGAACACCAGUGGCGAAGGCGACUGGCUGGACCGUUUCUGACGCUGAGGUGCGAAAGCGUGGGGAGCAAACAGG
rnacentral:rRNA from 1 species